CCUACGGGAGGCAGCAGUGAGGAAUAUUGGUCAAUGGGAGAGAUCCUGAACCAGCCAAGCCGCGUGAGGGAAGACGGCCCUAUGGGUUGUAAACCUCUUUUGUCGGAGAACAAAACCCGGGAUGAGUCCCGGACUGCGUGUAUCCGAAGAAAAAGCAUCGGCUAACUCCGUGCCAGCAGCCGCGGUAAUACGGAGGAUUCGAGCGUUAUCCGGAUUUAUUGGGUUUAAAGGGUGCGUAGGCGGUCUGUUAAGUCAGCGGUAAAAUUGCGGGGCUCAACCCCGUCGAGCCGUUGAAACUGGCAGACUUGAGUUGGCGAGAAGUACGCGGAAUGCGCGGUGUAGCGGUGAAAUGCUUAGAUAUUGCGCAGAACUCCGAUUGCGAAGGCAGCAUACCGGCGGCGAUCUGACGCUGAGGCACGAAAGCGUGGGUAUCGAACAGGAUUAGAUACCCGGGUAGUC
rnacentral:rRNA from 1 species